UUUAUGGUGCUCUAACACGGUUUCAGGCUUUUCAAGGAAACUGAAACUGAACAUGGGGCGGGAUUGUGAGUGGCGUUCAAGAUAGACUUUGCAAUGGUGUGUUGUAAAUAAUGACUGUUCUACAUGGCUUGCUCAUUUGGGUGUUUAUCCUAUGAGUCUGUUGGCUUGGUUUAAUAGAAUUAGGCAAGCAAUUCGUUGGAGGGGAUCCAACGAAGCACUGCCUCACCCAGUCAUGAUUUCAAGGUUAAGGCAAUGUCAGAGGUGUCUGUUGUGAGAACCUGGUGAUGAAACUCCAGCGCUGUCACUGGGAUUUUUGGUUGUGCAGUGGCACCAUUAGAAAUGAGAUUAUGGGCAACUAGAAAGACUUAUUUAUUCAGCUGUUAUCUCAUGUUUUGUUUUCUCUGUGAGGCUCGGGCCUGUGUCAGUGAUGUAGUUCAGUGAAAACCACAGGUCACACUGUGCCUUGGUGUGAGGCUGUGAUAACAUUGUGAUCCUCUGCAGUGAGGGGGGCCUAUGGAAACCUGUGGUGCCUCCCUGCUGGCUGAUGUGCCAAAAUAGCCUUUCUUUGGAAACCAGAGUGCAAACUGGUCUCAUCCUGAUGUGCAGUCAGGACAUAGGUGGGAUUUCCUCUGUGUCUCAUGGUAUAGAUGUUGUGUUUAUUUACCUUGAGGCAGAUCUGCAGAAAGAAUAGCUGCUAAGCCCAGUUAAACCUUUCCCCUUAGUAGGUACAGGAUGCUCCAAAUCUGGACUUGUUUUAAAAAAUACAGACUUGUCAAGUGCCAGAAGAGAUGUGCUUUUCAUGGUGGACUCAGAGAGCAAAGAGGAAGCAGAGGUUCAUGUUUGGCCUUGCAACAAGACAGACUGCACCUGUGAGAGCUCUGAAGGGGCAGAGCUACUGCCAGUCAUGCCUGGAUUCUUUGGGUAGGGGUGGCUGAAGGCACUGCUUCUCCCAGCUCUCACUCCUGUUAUGUCAGAGGGGUCAUUAAUUAUGGCUUUGCACCACCGGCUCAAAAGUUGUACAAGGGUCCAGGAGUUUGAAAAUGGAAACAUUUUUGUGUUCACAAAUGUCUUUUAGUAUUCCUGGGUAUGCUGAGAUGUAGCUGUGAGCCUUCUCCUUUUGCUACCACACUUUUUGCGGGUUGGGGACAAGGAAGCAGAGGGAUGGGUCCUCAGAGGAUUUAUGAGUAUGGUUUCUUUGUUUUAGCAGAACCAUAGGGCAGUUUAACUGAUUACUUCAAUUCUCUGCGGUUUCUACUUCCUCUGCGUAGUUUGGGGAACAAGUAAUAGUCAGAAUGGAUUUUCUAGAGCCUUAAAAUGCUCCUAUAGAGGAAUAAAGGUUCAUGUCAUGGUUUAGGGCUGCACAGAUACUACAGAUGGAAAAGAUAAUGCAAAUAAAAAAAUUUGUGUCAGACUAAUACCAAUACAGAACUGGCAAUGUAAGCCAAUGAAACAUUUUCUCACCUGUAUUCAUUUAAACAGUUGGCUGUAAUCUGUUGUCAGAAUGACAAUGGGGAUGUUCUGAAGUUUGCCAGUGCACAGAAUUCAUGUUCUGGUACAACAAUGUCAUACUUGGGCCUGCCCUCACCAUGUUCUGGCAGCUAGGAUCUUCUGAGUGAAAGCUAUCUUUCAAAACAAAAUGGAAAAUCAAGAAAAAGAGCUUUAAGCUAUGCAGACAAAGUUUGUUUUAUUUAACAGGCUUUUGAUGUGAGGGAAGGCAAGUGACAUAUUGAUGUAUUCUUAAGGCUCAUACAAGGUAGCCAGAGAUGAUGAACUAUUUUAUUGAAAAAUCCAUUUCCUUUUGAGUUAAAAAUCUAAAUUCCUCUAAGGACAUAAAAAGUCCUUCUUGUUAAGAAUUCCUUUGCAAAACUGACAUCAUAAAUUGCCUAAUUUUUAGAUGAAAGACCCUUUGAUAACACCAUUUUACAUGAUCCAUGCUCAUGUUAUUGUUGGACAACAUUUUAGAUAUGUUUAAUAUGUCAUGCUUAACAAAAGUUUUUGAAAGACCUUUUCUGUCCUCAGCAUGGAAAAGUUUUUUUCACUUCCUUUUCUUCCAUCAAGCUUAUUUUCCCAGCACUUAUCCUCUCUCAUUAUGCCUUAUCUUUCUUCUGGAUAAGAUUGUUUUCCCAAUUCAUACACAGAAGCCCAGUUGACUUCUGAGUGCAAUCUUUCCAUGCCAUGGUACCCAGAGGUUCAGAGAUAACUCUGUUUGCUCGGGUAAUGUUGGUGAAUAGAACACAAUGCAAUUUUAAAACCUUUUUCUGGAAGGGAAAAAAAAAGAAAAGACUUUAUAUACCUCUGGAGAAUGGAAGUAAAUUACAUUCUUCUAUUAUGUAUGUGAAUCUGAUUACAGGAAUGAUGGAAUUAAUUUAUCUGGUUAUAAAGAACAUGGCAUCAUCUAAAAUGUACAUGAUUAUUUUUAGUUUUGUUGAUUUUAGCUGAACCAUAGACAUUUCUCAGUGUACAUUACAACUGCAUAUUGCUUUCUGAGACAGAGUGAAUGCAGCACUAGAAAGCAAUUAUGGAACUAAUAUAUUUCCCUGAAAUGUACUUCGUGAUGCAGGAUUUUACUCAUGUUUCUAAAAAUUACUUAAACUUCUGCCUAAAUUAUCCUGGUAUCACAAAUAUGCCACUUAGAUCAAUUUAUCUCAAAGAUACUAUCUUGGUAAGGAGAAGUAUUCCAUUACUGGCAAGAAUAACUUGCCUACUAUAAUAAUGGUUUUCCCCAGGUCCAAAAUGUUUUUUUCAGCGAGGAGUGUAAUGCCUGCUUAUUCUGUGCACUGGGGCACCUAAACUGUGAGCCACACAAAACAGAAAGAACAUGGAUUUUGCCACUGAAACACCCAAGCAACAAAGCAGACACUCAUCAUACAAAAGCAACCUCUUCAAACAAACCCUCUGUCAUCGAGUUUCCUGAUGAAUUUUAUGUAGGAAUCAAUUUUCCUUUUUCUCCUUGUACCAUAUGUUGCCACAGUCUCAACUUCAAGAAUGAUCAGAGACCUAUAAAACAUGAUCUAAGGGGAAAGAUUGAAAGAAUUGGGGUUGUUUAGUCUGAAGAAAAGGAAGGUGUUGGGAAAAAUGGUAAUGAUCUUUCAAAAUGUAAAAUGUUUCUCUGCAGUGAGAAGAAAUAAGUUUUUCUUUAUGUCCAGUGGGUCUAGGGCAAGAGGUGAUGGACGUGGAGAUUUAAAGUAGACAUUAGGAAAUUAUUUCAAUGUAGUUUGGCACUGAAAAUGAUUAUCUGGGGAUCUCAUUUGCUGAAGGCUUUGAAAGGCGGAUUAGGUCACAUGUCUCAGGAAUGGUUUUAGUUGCAGUAGAUUAUAUGGAGAUAACCCCAAAAGGUUCUUGGCUGGUUUAUGGUAUUUUGUUUCUCUCAGGUGAUUUACAGCAGAUGUUUUACUGCUGUGUUAUUUUGGUUCUCACUCUUCAUUAUAUCCUCAGAAAGUGCCAGUAAAAAAGGAUGUCAGUAGGCAAAAAUUGGGUAACUGUCCUUCUGCAAUGACAGAUUGAUAAAAUGACACUUGAAUAGAUUCAUGAGAACCUAGGGGAUGUGACCUGUCAGACAACUCUGCCAAAGUCCAAGAUCACCUAUAUUUUUGUUGUUCCUUGACAGAAAACUCUUGAAAUUCUUCCUGGUUACUGAAUGAUGGCUACAGAUGAUUAUUCUGAAGGGUACUAUUUUGCACUUCCUGCUGAAACUCUGGUCUGUCACAGCUUAGCUGGCUGAAUUGCAGCAGACAAGUUGCUGGAGACUGAACAGAAGGAAUGUGAGAAGGAACCAUUGAAGAUUUUGUACUAAAAGCAUGAGGUGGUUGUGAAUGGCUGCCCUUGGGAAAUUCACUUUAUCCUCUGGCCAGAAAUGUUUCUUCUUGAUAUUUAGUUUUACUUUUUGAUUAGUCUGUGUUUGUACGGUCUCCUCUUGAAGGGACAGGCUGGAAAUUUGUACCAGUAUUUGCUUUUGUGUACUCAAACACUACUGUGUUUCCUGAAAAGAAAUUCUGGAAAACAACUAUAUCAUGCAGAGAACAGAAAUUAUCAUAAAUUAAGCCUCUAACAGUAUGAAAAGGAAUACAGGAAGGUAAUUGUACUAUUCCUUAGUCUGUUUUGAUUUUGGUUGUGUGGACAUUCCUAAAAGACAUGAAAAUCUCUCUUGUUUAUUUACAUGACAAAAGAGGAGACAGACCUUUUAUUUUAGCUGAACAUACUAUUUAAACCAACACCACAGUGAAACAAGACAGCUAAAGGUACUGUAAGUCUAUUCUGUUUUUUUUAAUGUUCUGAAAUCUUUGUGUCUAAGAAUAAAUGAUUUUUCUUUUCAUUUACUGUGAAGUGCUUGCCUACAGUUAGUUUUUGUAACAGCAGACUGUUCCCUCUUUCAGUUAAGUUUACAAAAGUUGCACACUCUGUGGAGCUACUUCAGCUUUUCUUUGGAGGUGUUAUCACCUUAGCAGUGGACUUGCACACUGCUUCAGAAAUUCUGAAGGCUGCAUGUUGCCUUAGAAAAUGUCUCAAAACCCACAGGCACUCCAUUUGGUGUUUUGGUCCGUGUGCUGUUCCACAAACUCUCAUGUAGACAUACGGGACUGCACAGAAUCUCUGCAAGACACAGGGUGAUUGCAGUGGUGCAUUUUGCCUCUGGCUCACAAGCUGUGCACCGGCACAGUGCAAGGGUUAAGGACAAGAUAAAAUCACUUGCUGCUGUUUUGAUUUCCUGAGGAGUUGUUGUUUUUACAUGAGAAAUGAGGAAUGCAGUGAGGACCAUUCCUGUGCCAAAAUUUCAAAGUAUGUUCCUGUCAACUCUGCUGCCAUUCAUAGCUUUUACUUCAGAAUCUUACAUUUGGAUAUAAAGAUCUCUGUUGUAGAAGCCCCAUCUUGUGGACAACCAAUCAAUGACUACUUCAGCACAACUGAAAUUUGGAAUACUUAGAAAAUCUGAAGAUAUUUUGGUAGUUUUUGCAACCAACUGGGGAGUCUUCAUAUUUCUGGACAAUAUAGAAUCUUCAUUUAUGUGUAGAAAUCAGCAUGUGCUUUUCAAAGACUGUUUCCACAGGAAGAAAUUGUGAAUUGCAGAAAAGUAUUAACACUGGGAUGGAAACAAGGUUGGUGCCCUCAGAACCCUGUUUUAAGUCCAAACCAGCUGAGACACAAGCCUGAAUCCUGCCUUGAAUUCCCAAAAUAGUGUUCUGUAGCACUUGGAUAGUACAAAUGAGUCUUUAAGUGGCAAAAUUUUAUAAGGGCAGAAGGACAUAUUAAAAAAAAAGUUGAGAGAGAAAGAAUAGCAAAAUAUGCAUGGAAACUAAAUCUGGAAAUAACCUUAAGGAGAUUGUUUGUUUCAGCACAAAAUAAUGGAAGAGGUCAAACAACUCCAGACUCAGUGAGUCAACACACUUGAUAAGAAGAGUAUUAGGAAGGUUAAAAGAGUGUGAAAACAAGCCUAUGAUAAAAGCCUUUCAAAUUUCAGUAUGACAGUGGUAAGAUAUAUUAGAUAUAUUCUAUAUAAAUAGAAUAAUAUAUACAUAUAAUUAGAAUGUCUUUUUGCUGCUCUGAAGAAAUUGGGUUACUCUAUGAUAGUUUUCUGUUUCUUCCAUAUGAGGAAAGUAGGAACCUUCGUGAGAGUUUUCCGUGUAGCAAUUGAGGCUGCAAUGAAGGAGCCAGAAAAUGUGGCGACAUCUAGGGAAAGGUUGGCAGAAGUGCCUCCAGCUGGAACACCUCCCACUGAAACUGCAGCCACUUUUUCUUCUGUGAAGGUGGCGUAUCCAGGGAAAGCUUUGUUGGAGUGGCUCCUUUGGAAGGGGUGCUAAGAGUAAAGAAGAUUGUGGGAUGUGAAUGGUGCCAUUGCAGCCCCUUUGAUGGGAGGAGAACAGGAGUUGCUAUUCCUCCACAUGGAUAUCUGACUGAGCAAGGGGAUUAACAGAGCCCAGUCCCUUUGUCCAGAGCUGUGGUGGUGCCACAUUGCACCAGUCACCACCACAGGAUCCACAUCCCCAGGGAUGGCUCCUGGUCCCUGUGCCACAUCAGCCAGGUAGAAUGCUGCUGUUUGCAGAGGAAGGACACCAGCUGCAACAAGAGUGGUGUCUGUUCCAGAGCGAGGAGUGAGCUCCACUGGAGAUGAUAUGGACUGUAAUCCAAGAUCAGGAAGGAGACAAUGCGUUGCCAUCUGAAACACAAGAAAGAUCAAAAUAAGUUUUCAGUGUGCCACCAAAACCACAGUGGUAGGUUUCUGUUAAGGAGAAUGAGUAAUACCAUUCUAGCUGUGAAGGUUGCUGUGAGUGGGUAAUAAUUCCAUCUAACUGAUAGGUCAGAUUAUGUAUUCUACAAGCAACUAAAUAAUCCCAGGUAAAAUCUUGCCCUAUUUCUUCAGCUCAAUGAGAAAGCCCACCCACCAUACCCACUCAGAAGUUGCUCUAUGCAUGCUUGUAUAACUUUAGGAUUCAGGAACAGGUCUGUUCUCCAUCCUGCAUCCCCAAAGCAGCCUUGCUCAGGAACACAUUGUCUCCAGCCUUGGUGUGGAACGAGGAAUCUGUUCCUGCUGCUCCCAGGAUGUGGGAUGUGGGUUGAGCCUCAGCUCUGCAGCUGCAGACUGUGUGUGUGUGUCAGGGCCCCUCUCAGAGCCUCUCUCCCCAUUUCUCUUUAACACUGCAGGCUUCAGACCUUUCUGUGCACCAGGGAAAUUACUGAUCAAACCAGGGCUCACCCGAGUUCCCUCCUAGAGGGGAAUGUGUAUCUGUUCAGGAGAGGGAUGCAACAACCAUUUCAAAUUUUGUGUGCCAACCUAUUCUCCACAGACAACACAAACUGACAGAACACAGGUAAUAUAUUGUGCAUGCUGUGCCCAUUUCUUACUUUGUUUUACCAGGGAAAAUAGAUUAAAAUUGGUAUUAAGUUUCCUUCUUGUUCCUCCAAUAAUAAAAAAUUACCAGGGAAGUGAAAAUAAGACAGAUUUUUUCUCUAGAAAGGCCUUCCAGCUAAUUUUUUUUUUUUAAUAUUAUGAACCAUACUUGCCUGCCUUAAUAGAUGAGAAAAGUAACAGUAGAAAUGUGAAACAAAUUAAUACAUCAAAAAUAUCAACCCCUGGACCAUAGCUAAAUCUAUAUUCAUAUUUGUAAAAGUGUUGCAGAUCGAUAGUACAAGGCUAUACUGCUGCUAUACUGUAUACAUUGAUUUGUUGAAAUGAUAGUUAUGGGUGAGGUUCUAAACAGACACUGCAACACAUAAUAGAGGACUGACCUACUAACAGAUCAAAUAAUAAAACAGAUCUAAUAAAAAUAUCUAAUAAGGUGUGACAAGCACAUAGAUAAAGCAACCAAAAGCCUAAUGGUUUGUUUCACAUGUUCAUGAAAAACUUUUUUAUUGUUUUCUAUCUAUAUUAUUUAACAUUAAGAAUACAUUUUCCCUUAUAAAUUUUAAAUGCUGCUGGUCUGAAAUUUUUGUGCAGGCAGUCUAACUAACAUUGAACAGAAGUACAGUUUUUCCAGAUGGCAAACUUUCAAAAUUUUGGAAUUAUAAUCCUCCUGAUGCCUUCUAAUAUUAGUAUGCCUUUGCACUGGUGUAGCCUUGUUAUGGUCUUUUUUGGAAGUGUCACCUGCUUAGGUAAGAUUUAAUUUACCAAGAAAUGCUGAGAUAUGUUUCAUUUUCAUUAAGAUUUUGACUAUUUUCCUGAAUAGGAAUCUCUGUCCCUAGUUUUAACUUGUAAUACCCUGUUUAAAAAAGGAGUAGCUUCAGUCAUAGUGAGAGUACUUAUACAAGUUUUCACAAUUGAUUGCUGGGAUGAGAGCUGUAAAAACAAAGAUCAGGUGAAGAUCCUUUCUUGGAACACACUAGGAUAUGAGUCUCUAUUUUUAUUUGUACUGCAUAAGUCUACUUAUUUAAUAAACAAUAAUAACUUUAAUCAAAUAUCUUUAUAUUUUUGUGUGUCACUGGAGUCAAACAGCACACCUGCAAUGUGUGUGAAUCUUCUUGCAGUGCAUUCAGGUUUUGGCUUUCAUUAGGCAGUGAGACAUGCUGCCUGCAAAAAUAUCACACAACUUGAAAACGAGACUCUAAUUUCAUAUGGGAAAUGUAUUUCAACCCUCUUAUGUGACAUCAGAAUCACUGUGCCUUUAAUUGUGACUGUGGAAAUGAAAAUACCAGGCCACAGAAUUUGCAAUUAACUUGAGACAUCCAGAGGAGAUUCUGUGAGUUGGUUUAGUCUCUUUAUUUUGCCUUGUCUGAAAUCUGUCUGAUUUUUAAAAGAGCAAUUGUUAGUGGAGAUGUCUGUGUUUCAAUUGAAGUGCUCUAACAAGCUUUCUGGUCUCACUUGAGCACUAUAACAGAAUACCCAAAACAACUGAGAUGUCUUUAGGUCUUAGAUAUUUGGUUUAAAUAAACAAUUGUAUUGAAUACUCAGAAAGGUAAGAGUUCCUGAAGCAUCAGAAGACAGAGUUUAAAGAUCAGACUGAGCCAUGCCUCCUGCAUUUCCUUCUCCAGUGAAUCUGUCAGGACACUGACCAGCUGGGCUGCCAGAUUUUGGGCAAAUGCUCCUCCACGUUUUGGGUAAGUAAUCGCUUGGGCCUGGGAUCUACUGCACAGACUAUGCCUGAAGCCAUUUGCAGUCAUUUUAGAUGACAUACUGAAGUGGUCAGCAUAAGCUUAAAAACUUUAUCCAGCACUUUGACAGCAUGCCAGAAGAAAUUCCUUGGGAUUCGGAGUCUAAGAUUUCAUUUCAAUUAAUUGUCAGGAUGAUGAAUAUUAUUUAUUCCACUCUAAGGCUCUUUUUAAUCUAAAAUGUGGUCACAUAGGGUCCAUGCAGACAAAAUGAUAUUUCUUCCUACAUAGAAGCCCAUCUAGACAUAAUCCAGUUUGCUCUCCUGUGUCUGGAUUUGGCCUGCAAGGGUGACUGGAAUGGAGACUGAAGCUGGCCUAAGAUUUCCUGGCACUUGAACCUCAUGUAAUUAGGCAAGUCUACAUCCCACCAAAUAAAAUUAUUAUAAGCAACACUAUUAUGAAUUGAAACUCCUCAGAAUUGUUGAAUGCUGUCCAGUUUGGAAGAGGGGCUUCAUCAGGCAGAUCCUCAGCGAGGUGUUGGAGCCCAGUGGGCAGAGUGCUGGACAGGCAUUGAGAAAUCUGAGUUCUCUUCCAGACUCUCCUGACUUUUAAACAACCUUGAGCUGUCACUUCUCUGUGCUGCAGUUUCACAGUCUGUAGGAGCAGGAUAAUAAUCCUCCACAAAGGUUUGAGAGCUGCUGAAGGAAGGAUCUGUAUGAACACAACAUUUCUUGCACUAGCCUGAGCUAGGUGCAGCUGUGGUUAGAGGUGGCCAGGAUUGGGUCAAUUCCUCAUCUAUUCCAGAAAAUCUGGGAAAUUUUCUUUGUUAGACUCCUUCAGUUGUCUGUCAAAGCACAUUUUCAUGUUAAAGGUCUUCCUUGUCUUUCAGACCAUUACAAAAUGUCUCCAGAAAAUUUCAUUUUAUUUAGUUAUGCACUAAAAGUCACGGUUCAUACUCCUGUUACUGGGAACUGCAAAAUGCCUCUCAGGAUCAUACAAAUAAUUACUUAACAUGGAUAAUGUAUCUUUGACCUAAAAAAGAAAAGACUUUUGCAAUAUUAUGAUUAGUAUAUGUGGGGAAAAAAAUUAUCUCUUCGUUUAUGUUGAAAGAUAUUUCAAUUUGACUUUCAGUUUGAAAAAAUCCCCUUGAAAGUACAAAUUUUUUUUCAAAUUAUAUCUUGAUUGUACACAUUUUGUGUUAAUAGACAACAAGCUCUGUACACAAAAAAGAACAGUCUACUUUCAAAACUGCUGAAUGGUUUGACCUCAAGGGAAGAGAAACUGUUGACUCAUUGUUUUUACUGCAUAUAAUAUUAGUCCUUUGUCACAUCCAGGGAAUGACAUCAUCUUCCUCAUUGUUAGCAGCAGGUUUGAAUAACAGAAAAAGUGCAGCAUUAGUUGUCUGCUGUGUUUGUUCUUAAUAAAUGAAUGGGUAUCUGGUACCAAGAAUCAGAUUAGGGGUUUUGAGUAACAUUUAGAAGAAGUUUGUGCCCAGGCCCUGCGGAGAGUUUUGCUCCUGGCCACCAUCUGCAGGGCAGUGGAGCUGGCAGCAGCACGGAGCCUGCAGAGGGAACAUCACUGAUGGUUCUGGCUGCUCCAAAGUGAUAAGAGGAGGCAGGGAAGAAGAGACUGAGCACAGAAUGAAACAGAGCUGUUCUUCAAGGUCAGCUUAGUAAAAGGAAUCCCUGCACUUCUGUGAAUCAUACUUCUCUGGAAUCUAAAUUUAUGAAGAGUAAUUAUCUGAAAAGAAGUCAUCUCUAGGACACGCAAACAAAAAGGGAACUGGUUAUCUUCAAAAUGCACCAUUUCAUCCAUUCCAAAUUUUUAUUCAUGUCUAUUAGUCUUCUACUCCCUAUAAAUGAAGUAUCUAUGUCCUAUUCUCAAAGAGUAAUUUCUUAUCAGAAGUAUUUUGUUAUAUCUGCUUCAUGGAAGAGGGAUACAUCAUUUUAGAGAGUGAUCAGGCUGGUGGAAGUCUUCUUUGAUGUGAUAAACCACCUUCUUCUAUGGCAAAGAAAGUUUUAAGUGUUGCUUCCUGAACAGUAAAUAUUUCCAGUGAAACAGAAUUUACUGAGAGAGAUUCCUUGAGUGUCUGACAAAGUGCCAAAUCCUAAUCUGCAUUACCCACUGCCUCUAAGUUUUCCCAGGAAAAUGUGAUUAUUUAACUAUAAAAUUAUACCUUUGUGGUUCCAAAAAUAUUUAUGCUGAAGAUAAGUUCCUGUGUUGAGAGAAUGAAUCAAAUUGUACUUCGAAAAUCUGAAAUCCAUAGAGCUGUGAGAGAGGGAAGGCUGGGAAAGCUGGAGGCCAUGGGUUAAGGAAUCCAGGAUGGUUUAAUCACAGUGGUCCACAUGCCAAGAGUGGACUCAGGCAAGGGCUGCACAUGGAAAUGCUUCUAGAAUACCAGAGCUAAAAAUGAAAACACAAGCCAUGCAGUAAAAGGUAGAUCAGACCUUGUUGAUUUUGAAGCAGAUCUCACAUAUUGACCUCUUCACUCAUGCUGGUAGAGACCUGCCUUGCAUGUAAGUGGCUCAGGUUGGAGCAGGCCCAUCUAUCCCAAUUCCUAUCCCAAACUUACAUCUCAAUUUUCAGCCUUGUCUGUUGUGAGAAGUAGGAAGCACUGCACUUUUUCUCUGUAUGUUUCAUAUGUUUUUGCUGUUUUCUGUUCCAGUCCAGAGUGGUCUUCAAUGAACAUUUCCAAAAGAUCUCAAGUAGCAUGAAUUUUGGGGAGGCCAAAUCACUUGAUUUUCCCUUACCCUGUUUAGAAGAGGCUUUACUUGGACAAAAGAAUAAUGCCAGCCAUUUCCCUUCAUCCUUUAAAAUUACUGGCCACCUCUAAAGAACUUGGCCUCUCUUUUGUGUCACUUUUUGACAACUCAUUUGAGUUAAACAGGUUGCUGUAGCCAAAUUAAAUGCUUGGGAAAUGGACCAUACAAUUAAUUUGCACUAGUAAGUUGUCUCAGCAUCAUUUCUCUUCCUCUCAAGGGGAAUGCUGGCUCAAGCAAAAGAAAAGAUUAACGUAAUAAAAAUAUUCUAAAGACAUCCUGUUAAUUGUCCCAAGCUCAGAUGGUAUUGUCUGCUCUUCUGUUGUGCACAGCCAGCAAACAGUGUAAAAUCCAGAAUUCCUUCCCACCAUGAAAGCAGAGCUUCAGUGCUACAGGAUAAUCCCUGCCUUUCUGGAAAGCAGAUGAAAAUGUGGAGUGGCAGAGCUUUGCUUUGGGUUUCAGAGGAAACCUGGAGACAAACCUGCUUGGUUUUGCCUUCUACGUGAGCUGCGGUGGGAGAAGAUGCUUCUGCAUCCCUGGACGCGGGGCUGGGGGAGGAGAGCCCGGCGCAGCAGCGGGAUCCCGCCGCCGCCGCGGCCGCAAAGAUGUGUCAGAAACAUCCCCCCGGCAGGACGCGGGUCCCUUCUCUGUACUCACUGCGGCUGCGAAAGCGCCGGAGUUUCGCUGAGGAGACUCCAGUCCCGGCUGCGGGGAGAGGGAAGAAAGAGAGGGAAAAAGAGAAAAGGGAAAAAAAAAAAAAAAGAGACGAUAGGAAAAAUAAAAAAAAAAAAAAAAAGAGGGGGCGCAGGGCAAGUUGCGGCGGCGGGAGAGAGGCAGGGGGCGGCCGGGGUGUCGGAGCCCCGGCGCCGAGCAGCGCUGCCCGGCCCGCGGCCGCCCCGGGCCUGCCGGCGGGGGCCAGGACGCGGCGAAGCGGCGGCGGAGCCCGCGGAGGAAACUAAAUAAAUAAAAUCAGACUGUUAUUUAAGGCGCGUAAAUUUAAAAUUCUUUGGACAGGAAGAGCUCGGGGAGCGGAGCCGCAGGAGCCGAGUAACGGUUUCGGAGCGGGGCGCGGCCCCCCCGCCCCGCGGCCCCGCGCCCCGGGGCCCGCCCGGCCUCCCGCACCCCGGCCGGAGCGACCCUCCCUCCUCCCCGGGGACCCCGGCACAGCCCUCCGGGAGCACCGACAUUUUGAGUGCCUGUGUGGUGGGGCAGGCUGUGCUGAGAGCCGGUGAGAAAUCUUUCUUUCUCUCUCUGUCCUUCUUUCUUCUUUUUUUUAACUUUUUCUUCCUCAACCCCCCCCCCUCCCCCUCCCCUCACGCACAGGAUAACAGUCCCCACGGAUUUUUUUUUUUUUUUUUUGCAAAAGCUUUCCUCCCCUCGCUUUUUCGAGGGAAUUUCAGCACUUUAGUCAGGAGGUAAUAAUGUCUGGCUGCUUCUGGCUGCGCAGUGAAUUCCCAGGUACAUUUGUGGAAGAAACCCUUUUCUUUUUUUUAGAAGAUGAAAAGUAGUAGUUUUCUUCUGUGUUAACUCUUUCUUCAUGUGAACAAUGCAAGACAUCUCCUGGGGAGCUAACAUCUUACCCCACCAUGGAAUAAACCAUUGAUUCCAUGCCUCUCCCCACACUGAAAGCUGGAAAGAAAAUAUUUUCCUGUACUUAAAUGUGAGGUGGCUUAUUGCACUGGAGACUGAGCAAAAUUCACCCUCAAAUUCCUUCUCAUUCCCUCUCCCCCGGCUACGGGCAGGGCAGUGCCAGGGUUAGCCCUGCACCUCUGCCCCUCUCUGCCCAGCACCCACACAUCGGGUGUUUCACCCUCUCACGGUGCUGCUGCCACAGGGGAAACUCUCUUCGUUCCCUCUAGGAUCCCCUUUGGGAUCUGCCCCUUUCCAAAAGGAGUUCGGCAGCCCCCGCCGCUGUUCCGAGGGUGAUUUAGAAACAAAGGUCAAGUGUAACAGCUUUGCUCAUCCGUGGAACUGAAAUAGGGGAGAGGGCUCUUGCCCCACAGUUGUGUCCUCACACAGCCUGGUCACUGUGAAUCCUGGUGUAGCCACAUUUUAUGCUCUAUUUCUUCACAUUUUUCUGCGCUUGCUGUAUUUGUUUCUAUUUAUACCUCUCAUCUCGAUACUGCUCUGUUUGCUGCCGAUUCCCGAGCUGCUGCAGGGCGAUCUCGCUCCUGCCUGGACACUGACUUGGCAGUUGGUUUAUGUCUCAAUAAAAGCUCUCAAAAAUCUUUAAUUCCGUCUCACACGCUGCAGUUUUGCAUCUCUGGGUAAAUAGGGUUGUCGAAAUUUUCAGGAAUAUGCGAAUUUUUCAAACUGUACUUUUUGAUGUUGCCAAAAUGCUGGGGGAAAAGCGCCAAAGCAAUUUCUGAAACCACAUGAGAUAUUCCAAUCCUUUUUAGGUGUCAAGAUUCUCCAUUAAUGAGGCUUGCUUUAUAUUAUUUUCUCUUUGCUCAGUAAAUAUAAAGACUUCUGGAGGAAUGCCAUUCCCCAGCAGCCAGGCACCUUUUGUCACUGACAAUCCCUGUAAGGUGCGUGUCACCCACCAGCUGACUGAUUUCUUUGCUUUCCCAGAGGUUCUUCGCAGUAACUCUUAACCUCCUGGGAUAAUAGAGAGCAACUUUUGCUUUCUAAGUACCUAACUAGGAAUUUCAAUUGAUCAUCUUGUUUCCGAUAAGCUGAGGGGCUUAGUGAGAAAGCGCGGCAGUGAAAUCAGAUAAAGCGCACCUUUAAACCAGACUAUCGCCCGUGACUCAGCCCCGAGGCUUUGGGCAUGGCCGGGGGCUGGUUCGUCCUGGCUUUAACCCUGAACUCCUGGCACGCAAUAAAAGCCGCUAUUUCUGCCUAGGCGGGGCAUUUUUCUCGGAAGAGAAGUCGUUCUAUUAAGCCACUGCUUAAACUUUGCCUUAGCGUAAAUUAAAUGCUGAUGAAGUUCCAAACCGGCUUGGAAUGAGGUUUUUUUUUUUAGUAGCACAGGUGAAAAUUAAAACCAAACCAACCAAACAAACAUGAGAAAGCUGGAUAUUGCCCUAUGGUGUAGCACGGAAUUCCUCUUUGGGAGAAGAAAAGAGAAGGAAAAGGCUUGGAGCAUCCUCCAAGAUAUGAGGAAAGAAAGAUGGAGAGCAACACAAAGAUUUGGGUCACUUCACCUCAUGGACCUGUGGAUUACGUUGCUCGGUUUAAUAUUUCAGGUGGUUUAGUGCUCUUUCUACCCGGGAUUUUGGGGGUUAUUUCCCCAAUAAUGCUCCCUAUGUGCUGUGCUGCUCCAAUUAAUGAUCAUGCGCACAAAUGUUCAUAUUUCACAGAGGUUUUUAAUCAGAACACAGCAGUGUGACAGAGCUUAUAGUAAAUGUGACAGACAGUUUCAGCAAUUUUUUUUUUUUUUACUCGAAAGUGUAGCAACUGAUUUUGGGGGCUAAUUAAAAAAAAAAAAAAGUUAAAAACUAAA